rnacentral:lncRNA from 1 species
GAACUAGUCGAGGAUUAGGAAAGUACUUGUUGUAAUAAGAGUAAAACAUCUCUAGUCGUAUCCGACUAGUAUUCUUGUAACCAACCGACCUAUAACCCUACUCCUGGCAAUAUAAGGCGAACCCCCUCCAAUUCAAUCCAACCAACACACAGAACGUAUGGUGUUACACAAUCUGUGGUCCGAACCUGUCUAAAUCGUGCGUCUACGUUUACCUUCGAGUUCCUGAUCUCGACAAGCCCCACUAACCAAACACUACCUCGAGCACCC